ensembl:lncRNA
AUAAUAGUAGAUGAUGUGUUUGUACAUCUCUUACAUGGUUUUUAAAUGAGACCCAUAGCUCUAGUAAACAUCAUGGUCUUUCGUUUCAGCCAUGUCAUCAUAAGUUUGGGGAUUGUCUUGUGGAGCAAAGCUUAGACUUACUCAGAAAGCAAUAGUUCGGAUACAUGGCCCAGGCUGGAUGAUGAUAUUAACCUGGGCUGAGAAGUAAUACAACCAGAUUGUGGCUAACUAUGGGCCCUGGUUCAAUUCCCUUGAUUUCGUGCCCUAUUUUUAAUGGGAAGUGGGCUUCCCUUACCAUGCAGGAGGGAAGAAGUGGGGGAGGGGACAGUUUCAAGGAGGAAAUGUAGAAGAGUUGAAUCUAGGUAAAGAUCUCAUGUUACCUGGCUUCACAUUGCCUUCACAUCCCUCCAGUGAGCCUUCUACCCUUUCUUCAGUACGAGCAACAUGUUCUUCUAAAGAGCAUGAGGUCUCCUCCAGGCCAGGUCAAGGAUAAGGAGGACUUUGAUCACAGUACCUUCCCAAGAGUCUUUUGGAAAUUCUCACCUUCUAUUCUGUUAUCUCAAGAGGGCCUCCUUUCUCUUUAAACAUGAAAAGAGGCAUUAGUUAGCCCUGCCCCUUUCAGCCAAGAAUUUCUCCAGGUAUUUGAAUGUUCACAUUAAACAGGGUCACAUGUACCAUUUGGAAGUUGUUUCCCUGUUCUCAAGGACAGUCAGAUUUCACCACCAUGCCUCUCAGCUUGCCCUGCCUUGAAGGUUGUUGGGCAUGUGUGUUGGGAGUUGUUGACUGUUAAAGGAGAACUGACAUAGAACCAUCAGGGGAAGAUGCUGGAAUUCUACUUUUUAGCGCUGAGGAGAAUUUCUAUUCAAGCCCAGUUCUUGGACUGAUGAAUCAAGAGUGAUUAAAAAAAAGGAAGCACUUUCUGAAGAGGGAUGGCAUCCAGGUACAAAUCAUUACUUGAGCAAUUUUGUCCACAGUUCACUUGUUUCAAGUACUUCAGUGUUUAUGGUUUUUUUGCUUUCACAAGUCGUAAUUUUUUUUUUUAAAGUGCUGUCACACACUUAGCAAACAUCUUUUGAGUGUCUACCCAGAGCCCAGUCCUGUGCCAUGCAUAGUCGAAAGAAAUAGGUAGCAUUGUCCUUGCUCUCAUGGAAUUAGUGGUUUUGCUAACAAGGUAAGACUUCCAACAGUAAAACAAUCCAAGAAGGAGCAAGUGAAAAGCCAAAUAGGAGGCAUAAGCUAAUGAGAAGAAUCCAGACUUUGGAAUCAGGUAGCCCUGGGUUUGACUCAGAGCUCUGACUCUGACCAAGAAUGUGCCUUUGUGAGAUUCUCUUAGCCUAUGGGAGCCUCAGUUUCCUCUUCUGUAAAAUGGGACUGUAGUACCUAUUACACUGUCACACGGGAUUGCUACAAUGCCUCAGUAAAGCGAUUAGUGCCUCGCACAUAGUAAGCCCUUACUAUAUUUUUAUUAUUAACUGGACAGAUAAUUAGUCUGAGUUCUAGCUUGGAUUUUUAUGGUUUAUUUAGAGGGCUUUAGUAAGUCAGUUAACUUUUUUACCCCAUCUAUUUCUCCAAAGUUAAGGGAAUAGUCUCUCUACAAUAUAUUUACCUCCAAAAUUCCAUGAUACUUGGAACUGGAAUAUAUUGAGCAAAAGCUUCAAUGGAUGUCUCUCCUUCUUAAUGCUUACCCUAGUGUUAACAAUAAAACACCCAUACUGACUAGGGACUUGCUCCGGAGCAGAAGCUAUGAUGGGCUCUUCAUAUUUUUUGUUUGUCAAUCCAUGUGACACACUCAAUGAGAUGGAUCACUUUGCCUUAUUUCCUAUAUUUUAAGUUAUAUUUUAUGCAGUUUAAUAUUUCAGAGGUCAGGAUGCACCAUGUAAUUGAUACGUAUAUUUAAUAUGGUAAUAUUUUUCUUCUUUCCCCAAAGCCAUUUCUAAGUGAGAUGGGGCAUCUUAUAACUGAACAUGUUUUUGAAGCAAGGGCAGUGAAUAUUUUUUCCUAUACUUUGGAUGAUAAAAGUGAGGCUUAGAGAAGUUAAUUUACAUGUCCAAGAUUCACGAAAGCAAUAAAGACAAAGCUAGAAUUUGACUAAGCUCUGUCUGUUGUUGCUUACUCUAUCAUACUACUUCAGAGCAAAAGGUUAAAAAAGUUGCCAACUUAGGCUCCUUUUCCCCCUCAUUUUCCAUAGCAAAAUGUUUGAUCCAUCCUGGAUUGAGUUGUAGAUUGCCUUAACAGUUCUUAACAGGAUUAUAUUUUUAGUCCUUCCAGCCAGACUUUAUAGACCAUGUAUCUUGUGCAAUAUAAUGUUGACGUCCGUUCAGUGUUGACAUCAACUGGUGACAUUGGUCAGUCUGCAAAGUUACUUUCCUUUAGAUAAGAACCUAUUGGACUCAUAGAUCUUUUUUAGAAAUCUCACCCUGACCUGAGUUCACCUGGGUGAUACCAGCAGGUUUUUCCCUAGACUUUCAGGAUCGUGGGUCCUUAUAAGGAAAUGGGGAUAUAGUCAUUAGCAGUUGAUUAUUAAGCAAAUUCAUUGAAAAUUAACAGCAGUAUUCUUUGACCUCAGCCUUUAUAGCCAAACUGCUAAUCUUCAGUAAAUAUAGGAUUGUAUUACUAAUCUAUUGACAUUUAGCACAAAUUAGCUAUUAAACAGGCUAGUUGUUACAGUUAAACUUUUUUUUUUAAGUGUAUUAAAAUUCUUAUUUCCUGAAUGUUUCUUUCUCUGAAACAGAAUCUUAGGGCUUUUUAUUAGGCCAAGGGAACCUCUCAACAAUAUUUUCUUUUUUGGUCUUUUUGGGGCUACACCCAUGGCAUAUUGCAAGUUCCCAGGCUAGAGGUCAAAUUGGAGCUGUAGCAGCCGGCCUACACCAUAGCCACAGCAAUGCAGGAUCCUUAACCCACUGAAUGAGGCUGGGGAUUGAACCUGCGUCCUCAUGGAUACUAGUUGGGUUCAUUACAGCUGAACCAUCACAGGAACUCCCCUAAACAAUCUUAUUAGACUUAUUAACUGUAAUAUCACAUCAACUCUAUCAUCAAAAUGAUUGCAGUUUCAGAGUCACUGUUAACAGAAAAAGACUCCAACAAAAGUGACCACUGACCUUUAUAAGAUUUGAGAAGUGAAACUUUUAUUGAAAAAAGGAAUUUGCAGACCUGCUUCCCUGUUAAGUCAUUCUGAAGUUCUUACAGUAGAGUUGUGUCUACUUUUAAUAAGACAUAGGUGUCAUUAGCAUAUUUACCUGGACUGAAUGAAUGAGUAGAUUAUAUGUUUGGGAUUUGCAUUUCCUUCCUCUGCUCUAGCAGCUUCAGCACCAAAGUGUAGUUGUAAAAUGACACACUGUGGAAUUUGAAGUGUAUGUGGCAGUCAGGGUCCUAGCAAGAGACAGAAUCUAACUCAGAAGGUUCAAGAGCCUUUAAUGAAGGGGAGAUGCAAGAAGUAUGGGUGGGGUUCAAGUCCCCGACAAAGAGUGUUGAGGUAUUCCAACUCAAGCCACAAGGGAGGCUGUUCUCAGCUGAGACCUAGAGCAGCUCUGUGGGUGGAAGGCAUGUUAAUGUCAUUCAGGGAGAGCAGGGGCCACGGGACAGAAGCUAGGGUCCUGUAGGAACAAGAGCACCAGCGUUGGGGGGGCGGGGCCGGUUACCCAGACCUCUCUUUCAAUCUUCUCAUCUCUAUUGUUCAAAUGCAGUCAGCCAGGAGGAGCUUGGGGAUUCAGCCCACAGCAGAGAAGCCUCCUGAGGUGUCGGAAGAGAGAAAAGCCUAGGAUGGAUCUUCUAGGGGAAGAGGGCCGAGCAGACAAUAACCAGCCCAGAUGGGAAAUGCUGUUGCAGAGCCCACAGCUGCCAAAAAAGAAAAGCUUAUUCAAGGAAUUCGGGGCCCUGACCUCUUUUGAUCUUGGGUUAGCAUCCACUCUCUGAAACUCUUUCAAAUAUACUUGCAAUCCCGCGGCAGCAGCCAGAAUUGCUGGUCACAUCAGCUUGUGCUAGUCUCGUCACUCUACAUGGUCUAGGUGCAAUUGUAGGGCCGAGAGAGCUGGUCCUGCAGCUCUCUGAUGGAGGAAGGUACAAAGAGAGAAAAAUAGGAAAACUAUUAAGAAUUUCUUCAAGAAGUAUAACUAAGGAGAGAAUAAUAGUGUAAGGAAACCUGGGGAAGCCAUGUGCAGGAAAAUGACCUGCAAAUGAUUUCAUAGCUAUUUGGCAGUACGCUGUCGCACACUCUCGCCAGCCCCCACCAGCUUCCAGAGCUCUCAGUGUGGAGGGCAGCAUUGGUGGGCUAUUUAUUAUAAAGAAUGAACCCCUAGAGAUGAUUAUUCUCAGUAUAAACAGUGACAUUACCCAUCUUAUAUAUAUAUCCCAACCAGAAGUUUGUGUUUAGAAGUUCCCAUCAUGGCUCAGAGGUGGUAAACCCAACUAGUAUCCAUGAGGAUGCAGGUUCGUACCCCGCCCCCCAGGCCCGCCACUCCCCCUCCACUCAGUGGGCCAAGGAUCAGCGUUGCUGUGAGCUGUGGUGUAGGUCACAGAUGUGGGCUCAGAUCUGGGGUGGCAGUGGCUGUGGCUUAGGCUGGCAGCUACAGCUCCAAUUCAACCCCUAGUCUAGAAAUCUCCACAUGCUGUGGGCACGGCCCUAAAAAGACAAAGAGGGGGGGGGGAGAGGGGCAAAAAGAUACCACUCUGUGAAAUGUAUAUCUAUGGAUUGUCAUCUGCUAUAUGACAAUAGCUUAAAGCCUGCCUUGGUCCACGUUCCACUAGCAGCUGUCAAGAAAUAAACAUCCGCAUCCCAGGCCUUCUUCCACGGCUCACACCUUUGUGCUUUCUGGGUCACUAUAACAAAAUGCCACAGACCAAGUGGCUUACAAACAACAGAAAUGUACUGCUCACAGUUCUCAGGCUGCAAGUCUGAGACCAGGGUGUCAGCAUGGUGGGGAGAGGGUGCUCUUCCCGGUCACAGACGUCUUGUUGUAUCCUCUCAGGGUGGAAGGGGCUAGGGAGCUCUGCCGGUGUCCUUUAUAAGAGCCCUAAUCUCAUUCAUGAGGGCUUCACCCUCCUGACCUCAUCACCUCCCCAGAGUCCUGCUACUAAUACCAUCACCUCUGGGCAUUAAGACUUCAGCAUGUGGGCAGUUCCCAUCAUGGCGCAGCAGAAACAAAUCUGACUAGGAACCAUGAGGUUGGGGGUUCCAUCCCUGGCCUCACUCAGUGUGUUAAGGAUCCGGCAUUGCCUUGAGCUGUGGUGUAGGUUGCAGACACGGCUUGGAUCCUGCAUUGCUGUGGUAUAGGCCGGCAGCAUAGCUCUGAUUUAGACCCCUAGCCUGGGAACCUCCAUAUGCCACGGGUAUGGCCCUCAGAAAGACAAAAGACAAAGAUUUUAGCAUGUGAAUUUGUUGUGGGGAGUGGGAGAUACAGAGAUUCUGACCAUAGUAGUUUAUUCUAAUCUUGUGCUUCAGCUUCAUCAUACUUUUGCCUGGCAAAAUCCCAGCCCAGAAAAAAUCCAGCUCUCCAAAACCAUGCCUGGCCUCGAGAGCCAAAUGCGGCUGGAGAAAACAUACACUGAGGACUGGUUGCAUGUUACCUUACUUGAACCCUUUCUUUCCCUAGGAAUACCUCUGUUUUCCUGGUCCAUUCACUCUCCUCCUCUUGUAGACAAUGACUUUCAUACUCUCUCCUCAAACCCCAAACACUUCCCAUAUCCUAUCUCUGCUCUGAUAACCUGAUAACCUUUCUUCCUACUAUACUGCAGACAAACCCCAGAGGCCAUCAGAAGGGAAUCCACAAGCUCCCACCACAUCUUCUCACCUCCCAGAAUUGGUGCCCUAGGCUAUGCCUUCCUCCUGUUACCAAAGAGCUUCAAAGAAGAGCCUCUUCACAUGACACCUGCUUUUUCUCUUGCCUUCUAAGGGACCUUUUCUCAGCAAUUCUCCCUCUUUUCUCUUGUAUUGAUUUUUUUUCUCUCCAUUGGAUCAUUCAAACACCAUAAAAACCUGCCAUAAUGUCCCAGUGUUAUAAAACAUAUCAUUGAUCCUGUGUCUUUCUUUAGUCACCCCCUCCCCAUUUUUCUAUCCUUUUCAACAAAGUUCCCUGGCAGAGCUGUCUCUGCCCCAUUGAUUAUGGUCAGACAAUGGCUAGAAACUGGCCACUGGGACAACUGCUCAGCCUCUCCUGGUUGCUGAAUUCAGUAGUGCAUGUCAGUCUUCCUCUUCUUUGGCCUGUUUGAUCAGCUACCCUUCCUUACAUGAUGUCCAGUUCUCUACACUUCUCCAGUUUUCCACAUACCUUAGAGGUUUUCCUUGUAAAAAGCUCGUUGCUGUUUUUGCUUGUCAGCCCAACUUCUUGCUGUUAGAAUGACCCAGAACCAGGCUUCAGCCCUUUGCAAACUUUUCCACCAUAAGCUCUCCUCAUCUCCACUCCAGGAACCCAAGCUCUUAUGCUGAAAAUUAAAAAGUCCAUAGGCUUUGUCGACCUUGGCCUGUGCUCUAGCUGCCCAGUGAGCCACUGGAAAAAUCAAUAUUUGAUGAAAAUUUGAAUAUAUUUACUCUUGUGGUUUUAAAUAAUAUCUGUAUGCUGAAAAUUUCCAAACUAAUCUCUCCUAUGCUAUGGACCUGUCUAUACAACUGCCUAAGUGAAGGCUCCACUUGAGUGCUUUACAGGCACUCAGAACUUUAUAGUUCCUUACCAGAACUGAAUGGACCACCUUUAAUUGGAUCAUCCUCCCAUCAUUACCACCUCAGGUGGUGACACCUCAUCCUUCAGCUGCUUAGGCUGAAAAAUACUGCAGUCUUCUUUGCUCCUGUCUUUCUUGCCCAAAGCCAAAUCAUCAGCAAAUCCUAACUAUCUCACGCCACCGUCACUGCUCCCUUCCUGGUCCGAGCCACCAUCCUCUCUCACCUGACUGAUGCAAAGGCCCCUCACUGGUCUGUCUGCCUCCCGCUUGUUCAUCUUCUCUCUCCCCAUCCCCCCCAGCAGUUUAUUUGCAGCACAUCAGAUCAUCUCUUGCCCUCCAGUGCCUCCCUGUUUCAUAAUGGCUUCUGAGGCUAUCCGUGAUCUGGUUCUCUAUAAUCCUUGACUUCCCUUGGGCAGAUGUUUCUGCUGUAACCGUCUGUGUGUGUCCUAUAAAACUUUGUGUUCUGUAAAAUGUACUCUUAAAAAAAAAAACAGGGCUUUUGGGAAAAGUAGGAUUAGAGCAGAUCUUUCCUAUUUCACACAACUUGAAAACCAUGCUAACCAGAGCCAUAAGGGAUAGUUCUGGGUCAGGGGAGCUGGGCAAGUGGGAGGGGGACAGUUUUGGGGGGGUGGUCAGAGCCUGGUGCAGGUGCUCAUCCUCUUAAAUGGACCUGAAAUCACUCCAGCCUGUGCUGAAGCCAAACUGAGGCCUUCCUCUUUCCCUGCCAAGAUUAGAAUUCUACCCCUGCUCUUCUGGCUCCUUUUGCC